rnacentral:rRNA from 1 species
UACGAAGGGGGCUAGCGUUGCUCGGAAUCACUGGGCGUAAAGGGUGCGUAGGCGGGUCUUUAAGUCAGGGGGGAAAUCCUGUAGCUCAACUCCAGAACUGCCUUUGAUACUGAGGAUCUUGAGUUCGGGAGAGGUGAGUGGAACUGCGAGUGUAGAGGUGAAAUUCGUAGAUAUUCGCAAGAACACCAGUGGCGAAGGCGGCUCACUGGCCCGAUACUGACGCUGAGGCACGAAAGCGUGGGGAGCAAACAGG